AACGAACGCUGGCGGCAGGCUUAACACAUGCAAGUCGAACGAUCUCUUCGGAGGUAGUGGCAGACGGGUGAGUAACACGUGGGAACGUACCUUUCAGUCAGGAAUAACUCAUGGAAACGUGAGCUAAUACCCGAUACGCCCUUUUGGGGAAAGAUUUAUCGCUGAAAGAUCGGCCCGCGUCUGAUUAGCUUGUUGGUGGGGUAAUGGCCUACCAAGGCGACGAGCAGUAGCUGGUCUGAGAGGAUGAUCAGCCAAACUGGGACUGAGACACGGCCCAGACUCCUACGGGAGGCAGCAGUGGGGAAUAUUGGACAAUGGGCGCAAGCCUGAUCCAGCCAUGCCGCGUGAGUGAUGACGGCCUUAGGGUUGUAAAGCUCUUUCGACGGGGACGAUAAUGACGGUACCCGUAGAAGAAGCCCCGGCUAACUUCGUGCCAGCAGCCGCCGUAA
rnacentral:rRNA from 1 species